GUAGGGAAUCUUCCACAAUGGACGAAAGUCUGAUGGAGCAACGCCGCGUGAGUGAUGAAGGUUUUCGGAUCGUAAAACUCUGUUGUAAGGGAAGAACAAGUACGUUAGGAAAUGAACGUACCUUGACGGUACCUUAUUAGAAAGCCACGGCUAACUACGUGCCAGCAGCCGCGGUAAUACGUAGGUGGCAAGCGUUGUCCGGAUUUAUUGGGCGUAAAGCGCGCGCAGGCGGUUUCUUAAGUCUGAUGUGAAAGCCCACGGCUUAACCGUGGAGGGUCAUUGGAAACUGGGAGACUUGAGUGCAGAAGAGGAAAGUGGAAUUCCAAGUGUAGCGGUGAAAUGCGUAGAGAUUUGGAGGAACACCAGUGGCGAAGGCGACUUUCUGGUCUGCAACUGACGCUGAGGCGCGAAAGCAUGGGGAGCAAACAGGAUUAGAAACCCCAGUAGUCC
rnacentral:rRNA from 1 species